AGCGAACGCUGGCGGCAGGCUUAACACAUGCAAGUCGAGCGGGCAUCCUUGUGGUGUCAGCGGCAGACGGGUGAGUAACGCGUGGGAACGUGCCCUUCGGUUCGGAAUAACUCAGGGAAACUUGAGCUAAUACCGGAUACGUGCGAGAGCAGAAAGGUUUAUCUGCCGAAGGAUCGGCACGCGUCUGAUUAGCUAGUUGGUGAGGUUAUGGCUCACCAAGGCGACGAUCAGUAGCUGGUCUGAGAGGAUGAUCAGCCACACUGGGACUGAGACACGGCCCAGACUCCUACGGGAGGCAGCAGUGGGGAAUAUUGGACAAUGGGGGCAACCCUGAUCCAGCCAUGCCGCGUGAGUGAUGACGGCCUUAGGGUUGUAAAGCUCUUUUCUCCGGGACGAUAAUGACGGUACCGGAGGAAUAAGCCCCGGCUAACUUCGUG
rnacentral:rRNA from 1 species